GAUGAAGAACGCAGCGAAUUGCGAUAAGUAAUGUGAAUUGCAGAUUUUCAGUGAAUCAUCGAAUCUUUGAACGCACCUUGCGCCCUCUGGUAUUCCGGAGGGCAUGCCUGUUCGAGCGUCAUUAUCACCCCUCAAGCCCGGCUUGUUGUUGGAUGCAGCGCUUAUCCCGCUCCUCCCAAAGAUAAUGACGGCGUCUGCGACGACUCCUGUACACUGAGCUUUCGGGCACGUACACGGCUAGAAGUCCAGACCCGGUCGCCGUCCCCCCCGCGGGGACACCCAUUGCCACAAGGUUGACCUCGGAUCAGGUAGGAAUACCCGCUGAACUUAAGCAUAUCAAUAAGCGGAGGA
rnacentral:misc_RNA from 1 species